ensembl:lncRNA
AAAUAGCAUCAUAUUCCAUAUGUCUAAUAAUAUAGAACUAAUAUCAUAAAUAUAGCACUAUAUUUUAAUAUAUAACAUAAUAUCUUAUUGAAAUAUCAUAAAUAUAAUUUAACAGAUGCUAUUUUUUACGCCUAGCCAUGCCUUUAAUACAAAGUAUAGAGGGGGACAUGUGUGUCUACCUUGCCUAAUGCAUAACUGAGAUCCCAAUUUCCAACGGCAGGCGAAUGAAACUAUCGGCCUACCUUCACAAGUUGUUACUAUUGAUUUGUCAAACCGGCUGUGUGAGGUUAUCCGAACAUUGGCCAAAUGACCGGGUUCAGGGUAUAUGCGCAGAUACAGAAAUCCCCUCAUCUUCAUUUGCGGCCUUGCAUUUCGCCAAAGAAAGAAAUGGAUGAGAUGAAAAAGAUUCCUCAUUCCUCAGGCGCUGUGCUCCGCUACUUUCCAGUCAAUGAAGUUGGAAAAGAACACUUACUGGAGCACUGGGAAUAAAAUAUACCCAUUUUCAUGAUUACAGAUUGAAUGAGGAGUUGGGUCCUCAAAUGCCAAAAAGUUAUAUUUUAUUUUAUUUAUUUUAUUAUUUGUUAUUUAAAAAAGUUAUAUUUUAUUUUAUUUAUUUUAUUAUUUGUUAUUUAAAAAAAGUUAUAUUUUAUUUUAUUUAUUUUAUUAUUUGUUAUUUUAAAAAGUUAUAUUUUAUUUUAUUUAUUUUAUUAUUUGUUAUUUAAAAAAGUUAUAUUUUAUUUUAUUUUUUUAUUUUAAAAAGUUAUAUUUUAUUUAAAAAAGUUAUAUUUUAUUUUAUUUUUUAUUUUAAAAAGUUAUAUAUAUAUUUUUAUUUUAAAAAGUUAUAUUUUAUUUUAUUUUUUAUUUUAAAAAGUUAUAUUUCAUUUUAUUUUUUUUUCAUUUUAAAUAGUUAUAUUUUAUUUUAUUUUUUUAUUUAAAUUUUUAUUUAUUUAUUUUUCCCCCAAUUUAAAAAAAAAAAAUCUUUGGGUUCAACUGUGGGUUUUCCCUCCAUCUAUGGGUUUCCCACAUAAAAGAAAAAAAUCUCCUCCACGAAUCGCCACCUUAACGUGGUGGAGGAGUUUGAGUGGCUCAGUGAUCCUGUGAUCUGUGUUGUCUGUGGCACAAGCACCUUGUGCGAUGGACAACAGGUCUCAGGGGAGAGUCGAGACUAAGAGCGAUUCAAAAACACUAAUGUUUAAUCAAACAAUAAUACAAUGGCUUUACAGCCUAAUAUCUAUAUAGUGUUAAAAAAAACGCCAGCCACAAGACAGCCUAAAAGGUUCUUAAAUGACUUUACUUACUUUACUUAAUUACUUAAGCUAUCAACUAUUCUUUAUUAAAUAGGUUAUACCAAUUUAAAAAAGGAUGCCCUUGAUACAUGCCCCUUAAAUCCGAUGUCGGCCAGAGGUCAGGCGGAUGGUCUGCUUCUUCAGGCAGCGCUUCUGGUGGCCAUCACUUGAGAGGGACACGGAGGGGUUUGUGGCCGCUUGUCCAGUUUGCACCCAGAACAAGGCCUCCCUCCAGCGACUGUCAGUUACCACACCCCCCUCCGGUGCCUCGACGGCCUUCUUCAUACAUAUACUGUACUUACGUAUAUUUAUGUGUAUCAGUGGCGGCUGGUGGGUUUUCUUUUUGCCAGCCAAUCAGUUUCAGUAAACAUCCCUGUAUGAUUCAAUGCAAAAAAGGGUAUCACAUCAUUACUUUGCAGUUAAAUAAACUGUUUAACAUAAUAAAGACAUCUUAUCUUAUUCAAACAAGUCAGUACAUCAAUGAAUAUAUAAAUAUAACUUAUAAAACAAUAUUCAGAAUAUGAUAACUACCAUGACUACUAUAAAUAUCCUAUAUAAAUAUAUUAUAUUAUCUUAUAGUAUAAAUAUAUUUAUAUAAAAUAAGAACAUGUGUAUAUAUACGUAUAUAUUUAGAUGCAUAUGAACCUAGUUUGUUGGGGAAACACCCGAUCAGUGUGUUGAGGAAAGACCAACUCAAAAGCCCCACAAAACUUCACACAAUGAACUAUUUUGGUUAAAAUGUGCCUGUUUUCAUCCACGUCCUGGUUGUGUGUCCUCACCGCGGUCCUGUGUGCGUCGCAGCUGGGCAGCGAUGUAAACUUUAGCACGGUGACGUCAUGCGGACCGGCGCCGUUAGCACAUAGCUAACCAGCUAGCUUAACCUCUCGGCGUAGAAGUCUCUACAGAAGCCUCGGCUUCCCUUUCACACCGGUCCGUUGUCUGAUCGUGAGGUCCGGCUGAUCCCGGUCCAGCUCUUUCACCUCGAGUUUCUCCGCGAAAGUUAUUCCGUCAAACGGCUGUUUGAGGAGAGAAUGUCAGGGUCUGGUCCCGUCGGAGGGACACUGCUCGCCGUUGUCAUGGCGCUAAAUGGGCGCGUCGCGAGACUCUGACGAGGCGCAGCGUAGGGCGGGAAAGUGCUGGCCCCAAAUCUCAAAGUAUUUUAGGCAGAGGUGUCAACUAACGAAGUACAAAUACUUCGUUACUGUACUUAAGUAGUAACUUUACUGGAGUGUUUAUUUUUCAGACGACUUUUUACUCUACUCCUUACAUUUUCACACAAAUAUCUGUACUUUCUACUCCUUACAUUUUAAAAACAGUCUCGUUACUUCCGGCUUCUCCAGAUAAAUGGCGCUAUGCGGACAGAGUGAAUGUGAUUGUGUUUGGAUGAGAAGUUUAAACAUUUAGCAUCCAGACACCCGAUUGGUUUUCUCCGCGAUGCGCCGGCAGAUCGGAGCGACACCGGGUGGGAAAAGUGGUCGGUGGAAAGUAGGUAUUUAUCGACAUGGAGCCUCCUCCUCUUCCUCCUCCUCUUCCUCACGCAGAGUCCAUGUAACGUUAGAUGAGGAUCUUCGUGACCGUGGGUUUGUCCUAAAUGUUUUAUUGAGAGUCUGGCACAACACAGCGACUUGCAAGCAGCGUAUUAAAUAAAGUGACGUGUGUCUUAAUGCGGCUUUGCAAAUGAACACAAAGGGAUUCUGUAUUUGCUCAUGAAGCCUGAACAUACGGGUUAUUUGGCCAAUGUUUUGAUAACCGACCGCUGCCAGUUCAGUGUUUCCCAUCAUUAUAAACAGGGGCGCGCCCCCCAUGACGUAGUGAACCUGGGGGAGACACUGCAGUCUACCUAAUCGAUGCGAACAACGUGUGUGUGACUCGUGUCACCGGUAAAUGUGUUGUGGUUUUAUCUGUAUAAGUUAGAUACACGUGUUGUUUUUGUGUCGUGUCUCUGAAUGUCGCCAUGUUUCCAUCAUCCCAACGGCAGGUCACGUGAUCUGCAGGCGCCUUCUGAUCACAUUGUAACGGACUGACGUGUUGUGUGAGCGAGGUUACGCAUUAAGAGUUUGUCCUUAAUGGAAUUUCUUACAUUACUUUUAUACUUUAAGUAGUUUUGAAACCAGUACUUUUAUACGUUUACUUAAGUAAAAAUCUUGAGUUGGUAAUUCUACAAACUUCUACAGGAGUCUUUUUAAACCCUAGUAUAUGUACUUCUAUUGAGUAAUGAAUGUGAAUACUUUUGACACCUCUGGUCAUUUCUUCUUCUUAUUCCCCUCAUUAAAGCUGGCUCACCACUGUAAUUACUCACACAUGAAGAGUAAUAACAGUGAUUAGGAAGGUGGGACCAAUUUACUCAAAUUAGUAAUCCAAUAUGUGCUGCUUCAUAAUUCUGCUCUGCUGUGUUUUGGAAGGAAAAUUCAUCCUUUUUCAUUCAUUUAUCAUCUUACAAGUUGUCGUCGAAGGAUCUUAUCAGUUUUUAAGUUCACCUGUAUCCUCUAACAAAAGGCCUCUACCGUAACCAGCCAACACAUAGCAUAUAGCUACAGAAUUUCUUUUUGUGCAUAAUACGUUAUUUAUCUUUUUUUUUGUCCAACUAACAGUCACAAACAAAGAGAAUUACCAUUUACACAAAUAUAGAAACAGAAGUAGAAAAUUGUCAUGUUUGAAGAAAUGUUAAAAAAGCACAAUCUUGGGGUAUUUUUCCUCUUCAAAAUGGAUGAAGACACUGGAACAUGCGUGAUGAUCACGAGCGUCUGACAUGCAACACAUUGCCUAAACAAGACACACCAUUUUUGAAAUACCGUGUAUUCUGGAUAUUAUUACAUUCCACACAAACAACAAUGCAGUCACCCAGUUGAGCCUGUGCUCAUGUUCCCCGUGUGACUCUCAGCGCUGCGUUCCUCCUUCCUGUCGGCAGAUGUCUCUGGUGUAUCUCGGGUUACCAGCUGCUGGAGGCGGUGCGAUGGGGACGGGAUGACGAUGUCAAAGCCCUGAUGGCCAACGGGGCUCCGUUCACUACGGACUGGCGCGUUAAUUAUGGAAUAAUCAUUGGGCUAAUCCAUGACGACACGAGUGUGAACCACUGCAGGGAAACAGAAACCGUCGGCUCUUAAUGACGGUUUGACAGUAAUGCUGAGGCGUCGCAUUGAGUUCAAAAGACAGCAAAAAAGGAAAAGAAACAUCAAGUGAGCAAAAUCUAUAGUGGGACACUCAGUCCUGUGCCUGCUAAUGUACUUUCUCUCCCAUCAAAGAAGGCCAACGAGGUUAUUUGCAAUACUCCUUCACUGUGUCACAAGUGUGCAGCUCAACAAACUGACCAUAGGAAACGCCACAUAGAUAUUCAUCUUUACCUCAAGGGUCAAAAACAAGCGCAGAUUAUUUGGUCGACCGAUCUAGUUCAUCGUCUGGUCUGCGAGAUGUGAAUUAAAUACCAAGAGGAUUCACAUUCAAGUGUCAAACCCGAAAGAUAUUCAUUUUACAAAGAAAAGAAGCAAAUCCUCAGUAAUAAAAAAAAUGAGAUAAGCGCUUCAUAAUUAAUCGAUUCUCAAAGUGUUUGUCCAUUGUGUUUUCUGUCAAUGGACGCAUCUAUUAAUGAAUGAAUCCAUAUUUUACCCAAACACACAGCAGUUGAUCAUUUUUUUGUUAAAUCUCUUUAAAACAUGAGUGUUUUCUACAAGCGCGGGACAUUCAAAGUCUGUAUCAUUUAUUCAAUUUGUCUGCAAAUGAAUAAAAUUGUGUUUUUUUUUUGUUCUUAUUCACUGGAAAAGAUAUGGUUUUAAAAUAAAUAAUGCAGAUUUCUUCCUCUGACUCUUCUGAUCACAUCAAUAUAUAACUUAUAAUGUAUCAUUUACCGCUCCCAGGCAAAGGUUGACCUUUUUUGAAUGUCCUCUUAAUGUCACCUGUAUCAAUACCGUACAAGAACAGCUUACAGAUUGACGGGUCUCAAAAUUGAUUAACUUUAAAGUUCAGUGAGUUCAGUCCAUCCCCCGUCACACUGUAUCACCUUCCACUUCAUUUAUUGGAUAUUUACUACGUCCGACAUCAUCUGUAUAUGUAGGAACUCACGACCGACCGUUAAUGAAAUGCACCGUGUAUGUCUCCCUUCUAAGUGAAGCUGACUGUGAAUAUAAUGGAUGGUGAUUUGAAUUCCUAUUACCUCGGCGUGUCAACGCUCGUGUGGGUUAGCUGUCGCGUGCCCCGGCGCGUGACGCUCACGGGCGACACUUUCGAGCAUUUGACAAACUCCUGCAACCGGUAAUUACAGAGAAAAACUCCCGCAGGAUCCACAGUUUGGAGGAGCGCGGGUAGAAUAAUAAUGUGGCUCUGGGGGGGGGGGGGUCGUCAGACCCACCGGUCUGUAGUUGCAUUGUGUAAGUUAACUUUGAACAGCCAACAAGGGCCACACGCCGACACCUCUGGCCCUUUGCUGCAUUUAUUCCAACCGUUCUGUUUGCUAAAUCCUCGAUGAGCACCGGCACGCGUCACACGAGGUGCUGUUGGAGUCCAACGUGAUCUCCAAAACCUGUUCGUAAAAACGUGUACGAAAAUCUUGAACAUACAAAUUCGUAACAAUACAUAGGAACCAGCGGUGGUUAACCACGCCCCUUGAGUGAAUAACAUGUUGGAUUUUUUGAGGGGGUUAGGGUUAGUAUUCUAUUCUUACAAGUUAACAUUGAAUGCAGUAAAAAUGCAGUCAUAACACGUUUAUUUUACAUGGUUGGACUCCACGAAGUGUGUUUACGGGGCGCAGGUCCCCGUUCACUUUGAAUAGGGUGACGUCAUCAGUUGCAGUCCGUAUUUAUUUCGUAUGUAUCACUACGAAUUUGUAUCUUCAAGAUUUUCGUAUACAUUUUUACGAACAGGUUUUGGCGAUCAGGCUGUGGAGUCAGAGAAUCCAGAUUAACUUCAUGAGCCCGAUGGAGCUUCCAUUAAACACGGCGUGGGUAUUCGCGGUUGUAGGAUUGUUUGGUGUAGAACAAACGCUUCAUGUUUAGUGAACUCGGCCUGGAUGAAGAUGGUAAAACACUCUCCUUGCCAUGCCGUCCUCUCUCUCUCUCCAGCUCUCACCCUCUCCCCUCCCUGUCCUCCAGCUGGGCUCGUCGCCCAGCAGGGCCACCACUCCCAUCAGCGUCCAAAGUGGACAAGACCCCUCUUCACAUGGCCGCCUCGGAGGGUCACUCCACCAUCGUGGACCUGUUAGUGCAGGUGGGGAAACGCGGCGGCUGUGACCCCCGGCGGCCCCUCAAAGUUACAACAAUAUUCUGUUUUGAUUGAAUUUUUUAUGUAUAUAUAUAUAUAAUUAUUAUUAUGUUAAAUUGCUCAGUAUUCAUAAAGCAUUUAAAAGAGUAUUUAAACGUGACCGCCCUGCCCUCCAUAUCCAGUUUAACAUGCAUCCUAUUUUAUACACAUGAACCAAAAAAGCAAUAAAAACAUUUUUAAAUUCUCUGAUACAAGAGGGCAUUUGUGACUUAUUUCAACGUUGUUAGAUGAUACGCACGCUGCACUGCUGCCAUCUUCUCUCACCUCUUCCCCCUUGUGUCACCCGGCUCCUUCGCGGCUGGUUCCCUGUCUCGCCACCGGGGGGUGCCGCCUGUCCACGCAGAGCGGCGCCAACGUUAACGCCAAAGACGCGCUGAAGAUGACGCCGCUGCACCGGGAGGCCGCGGACGGCCACUGCCACAGCAAGUUUCGACAAGAGGCCCGUCGACGUCGCCAUGGAUACCAGCAACACUGAGCUGAUGAUGCUGCCACAGGUGGAUGACGAGAGGAGUGGGGACGGGAAGGGACGGAGACACACUGGGAGGGAGACGCUCGGACAUGUCAGGAGUCAGUCAGACAGAGAGACGCGAGGAUGGACGAAGACAAACGCAAAUGGAGGAUGAGAGAAUAGAAGGGCGGCAUGCAGAGCCAGGCGAACACCGUGCCAGAGUCCCACGACGUCAUCAACGGUGCUGGUGGGCUGCUCAGCCGCUCGGAGCUGGUCACCGGCGCAGGCAAGUCAGAGGGACGCCACGGCUGCCGAGUCGGGGGAAACCACCGUCCAGCGCGUGGUGGGCAACGGCGGCCAGAGGGUCAUCACCAUAGUGACGGACCGACACGGCAACCUGCAGCCGGAGGCCCCGG